rnacentral:rRNA from 1 species
AUUGAACGCUGGCGGCAGGCCUAACACAUGCAAGUCGAACGGUAACAGGAAUCAGCUUGCUGAUUCGCUGACGAGUGGCGGACGGGUGAGUAAUGUCUGGGAAACUGCCUGAUGGAGGGGGAUAGCUACUGGAAACGGUAGCUAAUACCGCAUAACGUCGCAAGACCAAAGAGGGGGACCUUCGGGCCUCUUGCCAUCGGAUGUGCCCAGAUGGGAUUAGCUAGUAGGUGGGGUAACGGCUCACCUAGGCGACGAUCCCUAGCUGGUCUGAGAGGAUGACCAGCCACACUGGAACUGAGACACGGUCCAGACUCCUACGGGAGGCAGCAGUGGGGAAUAUUGCACAAUGGGCGCAAGCCUGAUGCAGCCAUGCCGCGUGUAUGAAGAAGGCCUUCGGGUUGUAAAGUACUUUCAGCGAGGAGGAAGGUGUUGAGGUUAAUAACCUCAGCAAUUGACGUUACUCGCAGAAGAAGCACCGGCUAACUCCGUGCCAGCAGCCGCCGUAA